GACGAACGCUGGCGGCGUGCUUAACACAUGCAAGUCGAACGGAAAGGCCCUGCUUUUGUGGGGUGCUCGAGUGGCGAACGGGUGAGUAAAACGUGAGUAAACUGCCCUUGACUUUGGGAUAACUUCAGGAAACUGGGGCUAAUACCGGAUAGGAGAUCCUGCUGCAUGGGGGGGGUUGGAAAGUUUCGGCGGUUGGGGCUGGACUCGCGGGUUAUCAGCUUGUUGGUGGGGUAGUGGCUUACCAGGGGUUUGACGGGUAGCCGGCCUGGGAGGGGGACCGGCCUCAUGGGGACUGAGAUAGGGACCAGUAGCCUACGGGAGGCAGUAGGGGGGAAUAUUGCGCAAUGGGGGGAAGCCUGAGGCAGCAGCGCCGCGUUCGUGAUGAUGUCCUUCGAGUGGUAAACCGCUGUCGCAGUAGACGAAGCGGUAUUGACGGUAAUUGGUAAAGAAGCACCGGCUAACUACGUG
rnacentral:rRNA from 1 species